GCGGUCCUAAGAUCAUCGAAGGUAAGUGUCAUGCCCAUUCCAAGCAUGGUGAGAGAAAUGCCAAGAAUGGUCCAUUUCGGGGUGACCCAAUUGAAAGAGCUGGGCUUUACGAGCGCCAACAAGCAACCCAACGAUACCCAUAUAGGAAAUGCUGUAGAUAUUGCCUCGCCUACCACCUCAAUCCACUCCCUAAAACUUUUCUCAUUACUGGCGCCUAAGUUAUCUGAUGAAAUGCCACAACGAAUAAG
rnacentral:misc_RNA from 1 species